AAUGCCAGAGGAGGGAAACGUGUGGCUUAGAGUUUCAAGACGACUGACCGCGGCUUCUCCACAUCCCCCGCAGUCCCCGAAGCUGGAGAAUCCCAUCAAGGAGAGUAGCCCUACAAGGAAUUCACAUUCCGGUUUUCACCUCUGACAGAGCCCAGGAACCAUGAAUGCAAGUGAAUUUCGCAGGAGAGGGAAGGAGAUGGUGGAUUACGUGGCCAACUACUUGGAAGGCAUUGAGGGACGCCAGGUCUACCCUGACGUGGAGCCCGGCUACCUGCGGCCGCUGAUCCCUGCUGCUGCCCCCCAGGAGCCAGACACAUUUGAGGACAUCAUCAGCGACAUUGAGAAGAUAAUCAUGCCAGGGGUGACGCACUGGCACAGCCCCUACUUCUUCGCCUACUUCCCCACGGCCAGCUCGUACCCAGCCAUGCUUGCAGACAUGCUGUGUGGGGCCAUCGGCUGCAUCGGCUUCUCCUGGGCCGCAAGCCCAGCGUGUACAGAACUGGAGACCGUGAUGAUGGACUGGCUCGGGAAGAUGCUGGAGCUGCCAGAGGCCUUCUUGGCUGGGAAAGCCGGAGAAGGGGGAGGAGUGAUCCAGGGAAGUGCCAGCGAAGCCACCCUGAUGGCCCUGCUGGCUGCUCGGACCAAAGUGAUCCAUCGGCUGCAGGCAGAGUCCCCAGACCUGACACAGGCCGCCAUCAUGGAGAAGCUGGUGGCUUACUCAUCUGAUCAGGCACACUCCUCGGUGGAAAGAGCUGGGUUAAUUGGUGGAGUGAAGUUAAAAGCCAUCCCCUCAGACGGCAACUUUGCCAUGCGUGCGUCUGCCCUGCAGGAAGCCCUGGAGGGAGACAAGGCAGCUGGCCUGAUUCCAUUCUUUGUGGUUGCCACCCUGGGGACCACAACGUGCUGCUCCUUUGACAAUCUCUUGGAAGUCGGUCCUAUCUGCAACAAGGAAGAUGUGUGGCUGCACAUCGAUGCGGCCUAUGCAGGCAGCGCGUUCAUCUGCCCCGAGUUCCGGCCCCUUCUGAACGGAGUGGAGUUUGCAGAUUCAUUCAACUUUAAUCCUCACAAAUGGCUGUUGGUGAAUUUUGACUGCUCUGCCAUGUGGGUGAAAAAGAGAGCAGACUUAACAGGAGCCUUUAGACUGGAUCCCACUUACCUGAAGCACAGCCAUCAGGAUUCAGGAUUUAUCACUGACUACCGGCACUGGCAGAUACCCCUGGGCCGAAGAUUUCGCUCUUUGAAAAUGUGGUUCGUAUUUAGGAUGUAUGGGGUCAAAGGACUGCAGGCUUAUAUCCGCAAGCACGUCCAGCUGUCCCAUGAGUUUGAGUCACUGGUGCGCCAGGAUCCCCGCUUUGAAAUCUGUGCGGAAGUCACUCUGGGGCUUGUCUGCUUUCGGCUCAAGGGUUCCAACAAAGUGAAUGAAGCUCUUCUGCAAAGAAUAAACAGUGCCAAAAAAAUCCACUUGGUUCCAUGUCACCUCAGGGACAAGUUUGUCCUGCGCUUUGCCAUCUGCUCUCGCACCGUGGAAUCUGCCCACGUGCAGGUGGCCUGGGAGCACAUCAAAGAGAUGGCGGCGAACGUGCUGCAAGCAGAGAGGAAGUAGAAGCGAAGCCAGCUGCAGGAGUCACAGUUCCUCUGGAAUCAUUAUAUUUGCUGUAGAUUCAAAAGGAAUCAAAGUUGAAGGGAGAUAUAUCUGAAAACUGGAAUAAGAAGGAAAUAAAUAUCAUCCUGGCUUUGUGGAAGCAAGUCUGUCUGUGGCUUCCUGUGUCUUUCUCCAGAGUUAUCCAGAGGGUUGUGAUUUUUGUCUGCUUAGUGUCUCAUCAACAAAGAAAUAUUAUUUGCUAUAUAAAAAGUCAAUCUUAGUAGCUAUAGCUUUUAUUCAUUAUUUCACUGUGAUUUUUGUUGAGUAAAACAUUAUAGAUUGUCAUGUUCUUACAGCCAUCAGAAGUGGCAGGAAAGCAUCACUGAUAUGUUUUCCAAGGCAAUCUAUGUUCUUGCAACUUGAAAUUCUAUCUGUGGUCUUUAAAUUGUCUUUUGUCAUGUGGCUAAAUGCUUAAUAAACAAUUCAAGUGAA